AACCUCAAUAAAACCGGGCUCUUUGGGUCUAGUCCCCUUUCCUUUUCUAUACGGCUGUUCUUUAAAAUGGGUAAUCCUAACCCUAAUCCUCUUUUAAUCCAUAGCCACCCUGGUCGACUAGUUUAACUCGGUGCAAUGUAGGGAUAGAAAACAUGAAAUAUUGGCUCCAGAAUGGUAUGGAGAACAUUUGUGGACAUUUAAGAACCUAUGGACACCUGGGGAAAAAUACAUAGCAGACCGCACGUGUGUCAUCCAGUGAACACAAAAGAUGGAGCGGCAGAACAACCUGGAAACUGUACAGCAUGAACAGCACAUGAGCAGGGCUGCGAAACUGCAAUGCAGGUGGCUGGAGGUGAGUGAACGUGAACGGCAAGCCCACAUCUACAACCGGCAGCUGCUGCAGGAUUUCAACAGGGCCCAGGACACCAUCAAUGAUCUCAUGGCUCGCACUACCGCGAUGAACACUUUAAGGGUUGAGUAUGAAAGGCAUGUAGAACAGUUAUAUCCCCAAUGGUGCCAAAAACUACAAGAAAAGAGACUUUCAACACAACGCAAGCGUCUGGAGAUGCACCUGAGGGAGUGUGUGAAACGGAUGGAUAACGAAAGCCCAGAGGCCCCCUCCUCUAAUUCAGCAAGCUACUCCUUCCCAUCCAACGCUCACAGCAACCACUCCGAUGGGAGGCAAAAGGGUCAGACCCAGAGACCGAGAAACACCCAUGAGGCUGAAAGGUUUAACAAACCAAAUGCUCUUAUCAAUCAAAAUAGCUCCAAUAUAUCUGGUUUCUCACAGUUACCAUACACUUGGCUGACUCAAGUCAAUCAGCAAAUACCCAGGUCAGACCAAAUGGUUACAGAACCCAGAGGUGCCCAGAGCUCUCAUGGCAUACCUCUUCCACCCUUCAGCUUACCAGCUAGAGGGGAGGUAUAUAACAUGCAUGCUCCUGUGCAGCAGGAGCCACCAUUUGUGGAGGAUCACCUGAGAGAGAAUCCACCAUACCCACAAUCCCGGGCAGGGGUGGGUAAGGGACUCACCCCCAGAGCUCAGCCCAACUCAUAUACCUCAUACCCCCCAUUAGGGCUCCCCAUGCUCAACCCUGCCGUCUGGCGCGCGAUGGGCAUGCCUGAACAUAGUGGAGAGGACAUCCAAUCCAGCCAGGGAAUGGGGGAGGGAGGGAGUGGAGGUGGAGGAGGAGGAGACCGAGGGCCCAUGAGUUUUCAACCACCAAGGAGCCCUGGACGGGGGCGGAGAAUGGGAAUGAAUGACGGGACCAACGAUCGAACUUGUGAGCUAGACACCAAACCAGUACGUCUUUCAGGUGCAGAUGGUGAAAGCAGUGCAGCUAGCAGUACCUCUAGAAAGAGCAAAAAGAAGGGAAAGGAGGGGAGAGGGGCACAAAUACCAGUCAUGAUGGAGAGAGAGGAUACUAUUUCACUACAGUCCUCUGCAGUGUCUCAGGCAAGUCUGGUGCCAAAUCUCAGCAAUGAAGUUUUAUCCCGCAGCACUUACGUAGAGGAUUCUUCAUCUGAAUCAGCAGAAUCAACACCAGAACCAUCAAUAUCCAGGAGGAGUAAGAGCACAAAUGGGACACCUGGACAAACUAUAGCCCAGAGAGAGGACAGGAGUAUUAAGAUAACCCCUGCGAAACAAUUGGGUAAGGGGGCAAUAACAUCCACCCGAGCCCAGGAGAGGCCCCAGGAACAAACAGAGGAAGAGACAGAGGGGAAUGAGGAGAGUUUGGUACCAAGUGUCAGAAAUGAUACAGCUGAUGGAGGGGAUGAUGAAAGGCUGGAAACUGGUGAUGAGGAAAGUGAGGAAGAGCAAAUGAAUGAAGAGAUGGUUGGAGAAAGGGUGGACAAAGCAGAAGCAGCUGAAGAGGAAAAGUCAGGAGAGGAAGAUGAUGAGGAGGAGGAAGAAGAGGUAUUGUCACACCCAGGGCAGCUGAAAGCAAGCAGUGAAGCGGCUUCAGACAGAGUUCUCUCAGAUGGUUCACAGAAAUCCCGAAAUGCCAAGUCAAAGACCACCAGUAGUCCAGAAAUGAACAAAGACAAGGAGGAUGACAACAGUCAAAUAAAAGAGGAGACAUCAGCAGCAGAAGAAGAAGAAGAUGAAGAAGAAUAUGAGGAUAUUGAAGAAGAAGAAGGAGAUGUUGAAGAUGAAGUAGAGCAACAGCCAAUGUCAGCUAUCAGAAAAGAGGAGAGAAUUUCUAACAGAAAGCAUGCGGUAAAUUUGGAAGAUGAAGAUGAAGACCUAUAUAAUCAAGAAAUUGAAGAUGAUGAGGAUGAUGACGUGAUCGUAGAUAAUGAGUAUGCACCGUCCGAAGGUCAUGCAUACAACUUCUUAAAAUACCUGGGAGAGAAAGACGAUGACGAUGAUGAUAUUGAAGGACUUCUUGCUCCUAAAGUGGAAGUGCAAAAUCAAAAGGAGAUGAUACCAAAGGUCACUAUUAACCCAAAAGGCUCAGAGAGUGAUUCUGGAGCAGAGGUUCCUCAGAAAAAGAAUAGCCCCAUGGCCCCAGAGGACGGGAAUAUCAACUCUGAUGAUGAGUUUGAUCACUUUUAUGACUGAGCAAAACCUUGCCUUGGACUUGGACAACACUGCAAAUAUGUCAAUGCAUGUCAAAUACCCAACACAUUUAUGCCUCUCUGUAAAACGCACAAGUUCAAAACCCAGAAGCAAUAAAAGAGAAGCACAACUCAGUAAACAUGAGUCAUUAUUAUUACUCCCUUAGAAAACAAAAAAAGAAAACGGAUGU
ensembl:lncRNA